ACUACAGGAUUCCCCAGUACGGCGAGUGAAGCGGGAGAAGCCCAUGCUGCCAACCGCUCCGGCGGGUUGUGCCAGGCGUGCCUGGUGAGGUCCCGGGGAGAAGUCCUUUGGAACAAGGUAUCAGAGAGGGUGACAAUCCCGUCUGUGCCUCGGGGUCCUCGCGUGAAGGCCGUGCUAAUGGAGUCGAGUUGCUUGGGAUUGCAG
rnacentral:rRNA from 1 species